UGAUAAGGAUCCUAGUUACAAAGCGGGAACUGAGCAAGUACGAAAAUUGGUGUCCAGUUGCAUUUCUCAUGUGGCAGAAAUGCUGGGGAGCACAAUUCUUUGGUAAGAACAUAAUGUUGAUUCAAUUUUAUUAUUAUUGCAAUUAAUUAUUUUUUUCGUUUGGUACAGAGGCUGUGUAUGACCUCAUACUUAGCGAAGUGUGGCUUGAUCAUUUGGAUAUGGUCAGCUACCUAGUUUCUUCCCUAACUGCAUAUUCAACAAAAUCGACGCAUAAUUGCAGGUUCAAUAUCAUACAAGCCAGGUAGUUUUGGUUUUUAUAAUUUCUUGAUAGAUCUUUAUUUGCAGCUUUGGUAAUAUGUGCAUUUAUCGAGUUUUAAACUUUAAAUGAAACAAGUAUAAAUACAUUAAAUUUUGUUUUACUUUAAGAUAAUAUUUUUGUACCUUACUCAUUUGAAAUUGAAAGAAUAUUGGGUCAAUGGGAGCUUAUAUAUAUGGGUUCAUAUCUCUCAUGGCUUUUGACUUUAAUGGGUUCAUAUCUCUCAUGACAAAAACAGGGAGUAGAAGAGGAUGGUGGCAAAUGAUGCCUAAUUGUUUUUUCUUUUUUGUUGUUUUUAGAGUUUUUGAAAAUCCUGGUUUAAUAUGUAUUAAUCAAUUGGGAAUCAAAGUUUAUUUGUAUUUCUAUGGAAAUGUGGGAUUGUAUGUUGGUAAUUUGGUUGAGUUUGAAUGUUUGAUUUGCUGGAAAUUUGGUUUUUAUGAUGAAAAUGUUGAUGUUUGUUAGCAACAUAUUCAGUUAUUGUGAAGCAUGUUCUGAAACAAAUUCAUAUUCUUGCAAUCAAACAGUAAUAGUUGGGAUAAAAUAGUAAUCCCCUUUCCAACAAUAGAAAAUCCCCAAGAAGCAACAAUAAAACAUGCCCACAAACAAGCUACAAAUGGGACUUCUUGAUUCAUCUUCUUUACCCAAGAAAAAGACAUGCAAAUGUGUCAGGCCACCUGUCCACUGGUUUUGUGCAGAAGGAAAUUGCAUCUAUAUAUGCUGAGUGCUACCCAGAAUUUUUAUUCAAGAUCCUCAAGAAACUAAGAAAAUUAGGAACGCAGGUAUAAACAUACUAUUGAAUUGAGCUCCACCAAACAGUCACUCAACCAAUCUACCGUGACCUCAUGUAUUGUGAAUUUCCAUUAGCCAUCAUGUGACCUUCAAAAAAUUUCACCAUCUUAUAUAAAGGUUAUGAUGUUACAUGUGAAAGUUGACUCCUUUUGCUCCUCAAUGGUAAUAAAGGAAAGGAUAUCAAUGAGAACAUGGUAUACCAGAAAAAACAACUAAAGCCUUGUCCCACCCAUGUAUGAAACCUCGUCCUCCGUUCCACCUCUAUCCCUGGGAAAUAUUUCCAUUAAUGCUGCAAUACUUUUCCUAAUUACCUAUCCAUGUUAUUUUUGUUUUCAUCUUCCUCAAGCUCCACCUACUAUGUUUAUCUAAUCACUCUAACUACUCUAUUUAUCUUCUUUUUUAUAAUAAACAAAUGUUUAUAUUGAACAGAAGUGAAAUUACAACACAGGGUUCUCUCUCAUAUAAGAUACCAUGAACCUCUCCACAUUUUGAUUCGAACUUAGUUUUUGACCUGAGCUAUCCGUUUCACACAAGCUUUUCUGCUUUUAUAUGGUCUUUAAUCCACUUAGUUUGGAUAUUAAUCUUCAUUUUGUUGGUUGAGAUUAGGAGUUUAUGAUUUGUUGGGAUUUUGAGUUUGGAAGAAGAAUAAAAAAUAAUAUUGGGUCCAAUAAUAGUUAAAUCAAGAGAUUUUUAUUGCUGGAUAGAUCUCAUCUAGUAGUCCCUAUACAAAUGGUUGCAGUAUGCCAUUGAUAAUAGAUGUUUUUUAUUCCCACCAAAAAGUACUGGUAUCCAGAUCAUGAUCAUUUGCUUUGGACCUUGGCUAGGAAACAGUGCUUACUAGCUAACUAUUGAAACCCAUUUUGCGCAGAUGGGUGUCUAAAAUUUUGUUUAGAUUUGCUGGAUUUGAUCCUAAAUUGAUUGUUUAAGGGUCAAUGAUGACCGUAGUUUAAUUUUUUAUUUCAACAUGGAAAGUUCGUGGCUCAGUCUCCAUUUUCUUGGUGGUGUUAUCUUUUUUCUGCGGGGAUGGGAUGAAAUUGCUGCUCAUAAUACCUGUUAGUUUGAUGCAUUUUUCAUUGGAUUCUGGCAGAUCAAACAUCUGAUAAUCUUAUAUUGGAACCAUGUGUCGUUUCCUGCACUACUUUUGCUUGAAGAGUUCCAAAGUUGAUAGACAUAGACUUGGGUAUGAAGACCCUACUAUUCUUGCGUCAGAAACUGCUUGUAAGUAGAAGACUCGAGAGUUGCUUUAAUUACUUGGCACAGUUUUUCACUUGUUGUGGAGCUUUAACAAAUUUAUGUUGAUUGAGUUGCCUGCAUGUAUUUAUUUCUGGCAUUGUACAUGAAGCCAUCGUGUUGAUGCCGUGCUGUGCAUAUAGCUUUCUACUACUGAUUGUCCUUCUUCCUCUAGCCUUUCCCUUCGUGAGUUGAGAGGAGGAAGUAUGUACUAUGUAUGCGUUCACAUGUUAAAGUUCUUCCAUGGCAGUGCCAUGUCCUUUCUGGCACCUUGGUCAUGCUAGGCUAUGUUGAAGCUGCCAAAACACAAACUCUGGGACUGCGGUGCUAUUGCCCGAUGUUUGCUACUUUACUAUUAAUGUUGCUUGCUUCUUUUUAUUGUGUUACCAUAGAAUUCCUCCCUCUUUCACCUGCUGUGAUUGGUUUGGAUAGAUGCAAGGUUCACCGCAUAUCACUGACUCAUCAUAUACUUGCUGUUUGAAAUUUUUUGUGUAUUUGCUAUUCUAAUUGCUAGUUUUUGUAUGGAUUAUACGGGUGGUCAUAAUCUGUACAGCUCAAAUUUCUAAAUUUUGGUGCUUAAAUUAUUUAACAGUUACUGUAAAUGAAGUGGAGGCCUUGUUUGUAUGAUCUGUGAAACUAAGCAGUUCCAUAAUUAAAGAUGGUCUUCUACACAAGGUAUUUCCAGCAUUUUCGAUCGUCUGACAUAUUACUUGAGAUGACUGAGUGUUUGAUCUGCAAUCUGAAAUUGUUGCAGAAUCGAAAUAGAAUCUUAACUGUUUCAUUUUCUUAAUAUGGCUUGCACUAAAUCUUUGACAUGAUAUGAACAGGAAGAAUUCCAACUUGCACUAUUUUAAAGCAGCGGUAAACAGAAUCUUUUUUGCGGACAGAGUAAGUGCAACCUAUAUUAUUACUUAAUUUUCUUCAAGUUUGUGUUUGAGUUUGUACUUUGGAUCAAAUGCUGCAUGCUACAGUCAAGUGUGUGAGGACUUUAUGGCGAAAUUCUAUAUUGAGGGUGCCAUAUAUGGACCUUCAUAUUAGCAAUAAGAUCAUUUCAUUAAACUUUAAGUGAAGUUACCAUUCAGAUGAAUCAUGUGGUAAAUAUAAAGGUUCGUAUCUAUGGUUCAUAUAUGGGACACUCGGACUUUAUUACCUUUCAUACAAAAAGAAAAAGGCCUUUCAUAAUGGUUGGCAGCGCAAGAAGUCAAUAAAGCCCUGGUUUCACUUUUAACCAAUACAAAUAACGCAAACCAUGUAGCAGAGAUAUCUAAUUGAGAAUUUGUGAUGUUUUUCUAACAAUUUGCAUAUUCUCAUUGCAGAUGUUUGACUUGUUUGACAUCAAGCGUAAAUUUGGAGAGUUUGUUCGGUCAUUAAGUAUUUUUCAUCCAAAUGCUUCCAAAGCAGAAAAAAUAUAAUGUAUUAUGUCAUGAAUGAAGAUCAUGAUUUCCUUCUCUUUGUGCUAUUGUGAUUCUCCCAUACUCAUUAUAUGUAGGCCAAUAUCGAGA
rnacentral:lncRNA from 1 species